CUUGGUCAUUUAGAGGAAGUAAAAGUCGUAACAAGGUCUCCGCAGGUGAACCUGCGGAGGGAUCAUUACUGAACGGCCAUUGGCCUUCAACCCAUCAAACCCGUGGACCUUAAACCGUGCUUCGGCGCCACGAUCGUGGCGUCGCCUUUAUGCUGAAAGCUCGAUUUUGUCUGAUUAAUCACAAAAGAUUUAAAACUUUCAACAAAGGAUCUCUUGGCUCUCGCAUCGAUGAAGAACGCAGCGAAGCGCGAAAUGUAGUGUGAAUCGCAGAACUUGUGAAUCAUCGAAUCUUUGAACGCACAUUGCGCCUCUCGUGAGGGAGGCAUGCCUGUCUGAGCGUCGUUUAAAUCUCUAGGCUCCAUCUCUUUGUGGAGCCUGUCUUGGACUUUGCCCCUGUGGCGUCGUCUGAAUGUCAUUGGUCUCACCUGUGGACGAGUCCCGGUAGGGCUGACCACGGCGGACCUUAAGCCCCUCUUAAUCUGACCUCAGAUCAGGUAGGAACACCGCCUGAACUUAAGCAUAUCAAUAAGCGGAGGA
rnacentral:rRNA from 1 species